rnacentral:rRNA from 1 species
GUUGCUGGAGGUAUCAGAAGUGCGAAUGCUGACAUAAGUAACGAUAAAGCGGGUGAAAAGCCCGCUCGCCGGAAGACCAAGGGUUCCUGUCCAACGUUAAUCGGGGCAGGGUGAGUCGACCCCUAAGGCGAGGCCGAAAGGCGUAGUCGAUGGGAAACGGGUUAAUAUUCCCGUACUUGGUGUUACUGCGAAGGGGGGACGGAGAAGGCUAUGUUGGCCGGGCGACGGUUGUCCCGGUUUAAGCGUGUAGGUGUGUGUUCCAGGUAAAUCCGGUUCACUUUAACACUGAGGCGUGACGACGAGGCACUACGGUGCUGAAGCAACAAAUGCCCUGCUUCCAGGAAAAGCCUCUAAGCAUCAGGUAACAUCAAAUCGUACCCCAAACCGACACAGGUGGUCAGGUAGAGAAUACCAAGGCGCUUGAGAGAACUCGGGUGAAGGAACUAGGCAAAAUGGUGCCGUAACUUCGGGAGAAGGCACGCUGACACGUAGGUGAAGUGAUUUACUCAUGGAGCUGAAGUCAGUCGAAGAUACCAGCUGGCUGCAACUGUUUAUUAAAAACACAGCACUGUGCAAACACGAAAGUGGACGUAUACGGUGUGACGCCUGCCCGGUGCCGGAAGGUUAAUUGAUGGGGUCAGCGCAAGCGAAGCUCCUGAUCGAAGCCCCGGUAAACGGCGGCCGUAACUAUAACGGUCCUAAGGUAGCGAAAUUCCUUGUCGGGUAAGUUCCGACCUGCACGAAUGGCGUAAUGAUGGCCAGGCUGUCUCCACCCGAGACUCAGUGAAAUUGAACUCGCUGUGAAGAUGCAGUGUACCCGCGGCAAGACGGAAAGACCCCGUGAACCUUUACUAUAGCUUGACACUGAACAUUGAGCCUUGAUGUGUAGGAUAGGUGGGAGGCUU